rnacentral:rRNA from 1 species
UACGGGGGGGGCAAGCGUUGUUCGGAAUUACUGGGCGUAAAGGGUUCGUAGGUGGCUUGUUAAGUCAGACGUGAAAUCCCUCGGCUCAACCGGGGAACUGCGUCUGAGACUGAUGAGCUCGAGUGCAGGAGAGGAACGCGGAAUUCCAGGUGUAGCGGUGAAAUGCGUAGAUAUCUGGAGGAACACCGGUGGCGAAGGCGGCGUUCUGGACUGCAACUGACACUGAGGAACGAAAGCCAGGGGAGCGAACGGG